UAAAACUGUACAGUUAUAAAAGCAGAUUCCUCUAGAGUGCACUGUAUGCAUAGUAAUGCGCGUUCGAAGGUAGAGGAGUUUAUAUAGUUGCAUGUAGUGGCUCUGUAGAAAAGUCUGCCUACGUUAUGUUCCAUAAUAAUAUGAUUCAGUUUCACUAAGCACUGUUACAAAAUAUAAAGUGGAUAAGGAAUAUCUGAAAUGUGCGUUAACGCACAUAAGUGCGCAGUGUAGAAUGUUAGAGUGAAGUUUAAAUAGUAAUAAAUGCGAAGAGGUGAUACCAUAGAAAAGCGACAUGGCUUUCUGAGAGGGAUUUGGAUUGCGCAUGAAGACGUUAGAAAGUGAUAAAAGGGCCAGAAAAUAUAACGCUUACACCCGGCUGUCAGGACGCCAUGUUUCUUCUAAACGAUCUGCCGAUGUUGAAAACUUCUUUAUUAAUUAUUUGCUGUCUUAUUAUCGUUUCUGCUGACCUCGAUGACGGGGACACAGAGAAGACAGAAAAUAUUUGGCAAAAGAAUGAAAAAAUUGCUACAUUAGAGAUAACAAUAUCUCAAGAUGUAGAUGGAAUUGAAGCAGACAGUACACCUUCUUUAACAUGUAAACUUAAUGUGCCUGGCCAAGUCUGGUGGACUGCCAAGGGGAACAAUCUUACCACAAUAAAAGAUUUUGAAAAUGCCGGACGAUUUGAUAUUAAGAAAGCAAGUAGAAAUGAUACCGGUGAUUACAAGUGUAUGGCUCGUACUACUCAAGGAGAACUUCUUGAAAAAGAGAUUCAUAUUAGGGUUAUAGAACCUGGCAGAAUAAUAUCGGAUGGAGAUGUUAGAAUUAAAGUAUUAGAAUCAGCUAACCUGACAUGCCAUGUAUUUGGCUAUCCACUCUCAAAUUUUAGUUGGUUUAAAGGAAACGAUACUGAAACUAAUGAACAUUUGAAAAAUCAUUCGACUGUCACGCAUGUAAAUGAAACCUAUGUAAUAAUGACGUUAGAUUUUAAGGAUCUAUCUCGCAAAGAUAAUGGUACAUACGUUUGUCAAGCUGAAGAUAACAAGGGCACAAUAAGUGCCUAUACAAAUCUUUUUGUAAUUGAUGUACCAAAAGUUAGCAUUGAUUUUAUAAAAGCUGUUGGCGCUGGUAGUAUCUUCUUAAAUUGGACGGUAGAUGAUGGUAAUGAACCAAUUAAAGAAUAUCUAAUUAGACAUAUGAAAAAUGGAACAGAUAGUUUUCAAUUUUAUAAAGAACAAAUUGGUGGAAGUAUUUCGAGUUAUGUUUUGAAAUAUUUUGAAAAUGGUACGGCAUAUAAAAUUGGAAUUAGCGCUCAUAAUGCUGUUGGUUCAUCUCAUAUACAAGUUUAUCCGCAAUGGGUCACUACAUUAGAAAAAGAUCCAGUGUUUAUACCAAAAGUUUCUGUUAAUGGAGUCACUGAAAAUUCUAUUACUAUAGCAUGGACUGUACCACCACCACAUCUGAAAGAACACGUACACUUUUACAAUUUAAUGGCAACAUAUGAAAAUCAAAAACGACAGGCUUUUUAUCCAGCACAGCAGUUUACUGUAUAUGCAUUUGUAGAUCUUGAUCCAGCUACUACUUACAAUUUUAAAAUUGCUGCUUGUAGUGAAUAUACAAAACAAUGUGGUAAUUGGAGUACUGAGGUGAAUGGCACAACAUUAGAUGGAGUUGCUGGUCCUCCAGAAAAAUUGGUAGUUACGUGUCAAUAUGAUAACAUAAGCAGUUCUAGUUCUAUUUAUAUUACUUGGUUACCACCAAUAAAAUCAAAUGGUUUCAUAACUCGAUAUAAUCUACAAUUAACUGGUAUAGCAACAUUUAAAAAUGAUAUGGGCCGAUUAGAUAUUGACAGAUGGAAUUUAUUUAAGAGUAUUUCCAACAAAAACAACGUUAGAUAUGGUCAAAUACCAUCAAACACAAACUAUACGGUACACGUACAUGGUGUAACUAGGUCUCGUUCUCCAGGAAAAGAUUCAAUUGGUAAUUGCACUACUCCAGUUACUAUCCCUGACAGAGACAGUUUAAAUAUGAGAACAUGGAGAAAAAUUGAAAAUCAGGGUAGACAGUUAUUUAAAUUAUAUUUACCUCGUAUUUCUGAGAGAAAUGGCCCGAUAUGUUGUUAUAGAAUAUUUUUAGUGAAAUUAGCACCACAAACAUCUGUUUCUGAUUUACCACCACCUGAGGAAAUAAAUGUAUACUCCUAUAGUUAUGCCCAUAGUUCUCCAACAGGCGGUGCAUAUGCUGCAGAGGCAUUUGACAGUGAUCAAUUAAUAUCUGAAAUCUUCCUCGGCGAUGGAGUAUCUUUUAAUGGCAGUGUUCAAUGUAAUCGAUGUAUUGGUCUUAAAGCUAAAGGACCACCAUCUGUAUUACAUUUUGUUCCUGAAACUGAAUCUCCGACACCAGCAAUUAAUGGAACAACUACAACUGUUCCCAGUACAGUACCAUCGACAACUUCUAUUAAUUCUAAAAUUAAAUUAACUACUAUUGAACAAAAAGUAGAAACAACAACUCCGAAUAUAAUUAUCAAGGAUAAUACAGAAUCUACAAUGCGUAGAAAAAGAGAAGUUUCAUUAAAUUCUAAAACAAUUUUUAAUGAAAAAUCUUUAGACUCGUCGGUGCCUCCUUUAAAUGAUGGUUUUUUGGAUGAAAGAUCAAAUUAUACUGGUUUUAUAGAGGUUAUAGUUUUCAGUAGUAGUGAGGAUCGAUUUCUACCUGCUUAUAGUGGUUAUUUUAAUCCUCUUUAUGGAGGAAUAGAUCUACGAAGUAUAACAGCUGAUGAAGUAACUAUGCUUGAAAUAAUAUUGCAAAUUUCUAUUGUUUUAAUAUUGAUCGUUAUGGUCCCGCUUAUUGCACUUUGCAUAUUACAUAGAUAUACUAAACGUGCACAGCAAAGGGGAGAAGAAAUUAUAACUUUAAGAAAUAGUUUCAGGCAUCUUUGUCGAAGUCUUCGCGGGAGGCAUCAGCUUGUGGCUGCAAGUCCACCUGAUAUGCCACCAAUUCCAAAGAAUGAAUUGUUGCAAGUAUAUCUUCAGCGUCACAGAGAUUCUGAUUAUGGCUUUCAACAUGAAUUUGAAUUAUUGCCUGAUAGAUUUACAGAUCGUACUACGCGUGCUUCUGAAGCUAGAGAAAAUUUAUAUAAAAAUCGUUAUCCAGAUAUUAAAUGUUAUGAUCAAACUAGAAUACGACUUACACAAAUAGAUGGUAUUUGCGGAUCAGAUUAUAUUAAUGCAAAUUUCGUUCUUGGUUAUAAAGAACGUAAAAAAUUCAUAUGUGCACAAGGUCCUAUGGAAAAUACAGUGUGCGAUUAUUGGAGAAUGAUUUGGGAACAACAUUUAGAAUUAAUUCUUAUGUUAACUAAUUUGGAGGAAUAUUCUAAAACAAAGUGUGCAAAAUAUUGGCCUGACAAGGGUGAAACGAAAAAUUUUGGAGAUAUAACGGUUGAACAUAUUCAUGAGAGAGCAUAUUCUGAUUAUGUUGUACGUGAAUUAAAAAUGACACGUCUUGGAGAACGUGAUGCCCGUACUAUAGUACAAUAUCAUUUCCUUGUGUGGAAAGAUUUUAUGGCACCAGAACAUCCUCAUGCAAUAUUAAGAUUUAUUAAAAGAGUAAAUGAAGCAUAUUCCUUGGAAAAAGGACCAAUAUUAGUACACUGUAGUGCAGGUGUUGGUAGAACAGGAACGUUAGUCGCCUUAGAUUCUUUAUUACAACAAUUAACAGAAGAGGGUCAAGUAUCUAUUUUUAAUACAGUAUGUGAUUUAAGACAUCAACGAAACUUUUUGGUGCAAUCUUUGAAACAGUAUAUUUUUAUUUAUCGUGCACUAAUGGAAAUGGCACAAUAUGGUGAUACAGAAAUUCCAGCAUCCCAAUUAAAAGCAACUGUUACACGAUUAAGACAGAGAGAUAAUGGUAAAGAAAAAUGUCGAAUGGAAGAGGAAUAUGAUAAAAUUAGUUCUUUAUUAGAAGAUAGAAAAUCUUUCUCUGUUGGAGGAGGUGAAGAAAACAGAGCAAAGAAUAGAAGUGAAUUAGUGAUACCAUAUGACAGAAAUCGAGUAAUACUUACACCUGUUCCAGGCAGAGAACAUUCAACAUAUAUAAAUGCUUCAUUUAUUGAAGGUUACGAUAAUUGUGAAUCAUUUGUUAUUACACAAGAUCCAUUGGAAACAACUAUAGCUGAUUUUUGGAGAAUGAUUUCCGAACAAUGUAUAUCUACAAUAGUAAUGUUAUCUGACUUGAAUGAAGGACCACGAAAGUGUCCACGAUAUUGGCCCGAUGAUGAAACUACUUAUGAUCAUAUAAGAGUACGAUACAUUCAAAGCGAAAGCUGUCCUUAUUACACCCGACGAGAGUUCUGUGUUUGUAAUACAAAGACAGAUGAAAUCGUAGUCGUAACACAAUAUCAGUAUCAUGGAUGGCCCACAGUGGAGGGCGAAGUACCUGAAGUAACACGAGGUCUAAUUGAACUUGUAAAUCAAACAGAAUCAAGUGGCUCGUUAGUAGUACAUUGCAGUUUUGGUUCGGAUAGAAGUUCGAUAUUUGUGGCAUUGAGCAUAUUAGUGCAACAAUUACAAACUGAGAAACGUGUAGAUAUUUUUACAACAACAAAGAAACUCCGUUCUCAGCGGCAUGGCAUGAUCAGUACUUUUGCUCAAUAUGAACUUUUAUAUCGUGCUAUUGUAAAUUAUUCAGAUCUUCACAAUCUUGCUGAUGGAGAAUCAGCCUCAUAAUAUCAACAAGUGUAAGUUGGAACAAGUUAUAGCACUUCACUUAUCAUGUUUGUUGACAGGAUAUGCAAGUUAUUUGCAAGCUUUUUACGAAAAAGAGUGCUUGAAGGUUUGUAAGUGUUGAGAUUAACAUAUAUUCAACCAACCAAAGAACAUCAGCAGAAAUAUAAUUGAACAAACAUAAUAUAAUAUUGAACAUAAAAUUGUGCAUAAGAUGAUUCAAGUUCCAUAAAUGUGGGCAUGAACAAAUUUUGCAUAUUAUAUUCUCAAUUUAGCUACUAGAGAAAUUUUGCACACACUAUCUUUUAACGAAUGGCCAAUAUUGUAUAUUCCUAAACAAGUAGGAUAAUAUUAAAUGCACAACUGAAACACGGGCUAUCAGUGAUAUUGAUCAAUGGUGGAGAAUGUAUAAGUCAAAGAAAACAGCAAUUCACUUCAGUCUAGUCUUAGCUGUAUCUUGACAAACAUGUUAUACGCGUUUAAUAACUGAUCGUAUAUGCGAUCUA
rnacentral:misc_RNA from 1 species